UCCAGACUCCUACGGGAGGCAGCAGUGGGGGAUAUUGCACAAUGGGGGAAACCCUGAUGCAGCGACACCGCGUGGGUGAGGAAGCGCUUCGGCGUGUAAAGCCCUAUCAGUGGGGAAGAAAAAGGACGGUACCCAAAGAAGAAGCACCGGCUAAAUACGUGCCAGCAGCCGCGGUAAUACGUAUGGUGCAAGCGUUAUCCGGAAUGACUGGGUGUAAAGGGAGCGUAGACGGUUGUACAAGUCUGAUGUGAAAGCCCACGGCUCAACUGUGGGAGUGCAUUGGAAACUGUACGGCUGGAGUGCAGGAGAGGUAAGUGGAAUUCCUAGUGUAGCGGUGAAAUGCGUAGAUAUUAGGAGGAACACCAGUGGCGAAGGCGGCUUACUGGACUGUAACUGACGUUGAGGCUCGAAAGCGUGGGGAGCAAACAGGAUUAGAUACCCUGGUAC
rnacentral:rRNA from 1 species